GAUGAACGCUGGCGGCGUGCCUAACACAUGCAAGUCGAGCGAUCUCUUCGGAGAGAGCGGCGGACGGGUGAGUAACGCGUGGGUAACCUGCCCUGUACACACGGAUAACAUACCGAAAGGUAUGCUAAUACGGGAUAAUAUAUAAAAGUCGCAUGGCUUUUAUAUCAAAGCUUUUGCGGUACAGGAUGGACCCGCGUCUGAUUAGCUAGUUGGUAAGGUAACGGCUUACCAAGGCGACGAUCAGUAGCCGACCUGAGAGGGUGAUCGGCCACACUGGAACUGAGACACGGUCCAGACUCCUACGGGAGGCAGCAGUGGGGAAUAUUGCACAAUGGGCGAAAGCUUGAUGCAGCAACGCCGCGUGAGCGAUGAAGGCCUUCGGGUCGUAAAGCUCUGUCCCCAAGGAAGAUAAUGACGGUACUUGAGGAGGAAGCCCCGGCUAACUACGUGCCAGCCGCCGCCGUAA
rnacentral:rRNA from 1 species